AAAACUAUUAUACUCUGUAGCAAUAGAUUGCGAGAGUAUAAAAAGUAUAUAUGUGUAUAUGUAUGUGUAAAAUAUUCGAGCAAAACUUAAUUAACGCAGUCGUCAAAAUAUGCCAUCAGGGAAAAACCAUAAAAUUGUUUAUUGACUUUCAAAAAAUGUUUUUGCUGUUUUUGAGCUGAUGAAACAGUUGCUUAAAAAAAUAUUGACGUACAAACUAUUUGAAAAGUGUGCAAAUACUUUUGAACAUACACGAAAGAUUUCAAUCAUAGCGAAUUUCUUUGGCAAAUAUGUGCAAAGCAAAUAAUUUAAGGAAUAAAGAAAUUUAUUUAAAAAAAAGCAAUUUAUUUAAAAAUGGACUGAUGCUCGUAAUGAUUUGGGUACUACGAAUUGGAGGCGAGUUGAAAAACUGGCAGAAAUUGGAACGGAAGAUUAUCUUGACCUUCAUCCCAGUGAAGAAGAUGGCUUCCCGAUGGAAUAUUUUGACAACUUUGUUUAUUAAGUUUUGCUCGCAUAUUUUACACAUAUAUAUGUUCAAAAGUAGUUUGUACGUAAAUAUUUAAUUAAGCAACUGUUUCGUCAGCUCAAAAACAGCAAAACCAUUUUUUGAAAGUUAAUAAACAAUUUUAUGGUUUUUCCCUGAUGAAA